AGUGAACGCCGGCGGUAGGCCUAACACAUGCAAGUCGAACGGCAGCACAGUAAGAGCUUGCUCUUACGGGUGGCGAGUGGCGGACGGGUGAGGAAUACAUCGGAAUCUACUUUUUCGUGGGGGAUAACGUAGGGAAACUUACGCUAAUACCGCAUACGACCUACGGGUGAAAGCAGGGGAUCUUCGGACCUUGCGCGAUUGAAUGAGCCGAUGUCGGAUUAGCUAGUUGGCGGGGUAAAGGCCCACCAAGGCGACGAUCCGUAGCUGGUCUGAGAGGAUGAUCAGCCACACUGGAACUGAGACCCGGUCCAGGCUCCUACGGGAGGCAGCAGUGGGGAAUAUUGGAAAAUGGGCGCAAGCCUGAUCCAGCCAUACCGCGUGGGUGAAGGAGGCCUUUGGGUUGUAAAGCCCUUUUGGUGGGAAAGAAAAGCAGCAGGUUAAUACCCCGCUGUUCUGACGGUACCCAAAGAAUAAGCACCGGCUAACUUCGU
rnacentral:rRNA from 1 species